UUGGCGACCGAUAGUGCACAAGUACCGUGAGGGAAAGGUGAAAAGCACCCCGACAAGGGGGAGUGAAAGAGACCUGAAACCGGAUGCCUACAAGCAGUCGGAGCCCGCAAGGGUGACGGCGUACCUUUUGUAUAAUGGGUCCGCGAGUUCGUGUUGGCAGCAAGCUUAAGCCGAGAGGUGUAGGCGCAGCGAAAGCGAGUCUGAAUAGGGCGCAUAGUUGCCGGCAUGAGACCCGAAACCUGGUGAUCUAGCCAUGGACAGGUUGAAGGUGGGGGUAACACCCACUGGAGGACCGAACCCACGCCUGUUGAAAAAGUCGGGAUGAUCUGUGGUUAGGGGUGAAAGGCCAAUCAAAACCAGGAAAUAGCUGGUUCUCCGCGAAAUCUAUUGAGGUAGAUCGUCCGUCGAUCACCAUCGGAGGUAGAGCACCGGAAGGGGCUAGGGGGGCCCAAAGCCCUACCAAACCCUACCGAACUCCCGAAUGCCGAUGAGUGCAGGCGGGCAGACAGACAGUGGGUGGCUAAGGUCCAUGUCGAGAGGGAACA
rnacentral:rRNA from 1 species